rnacentral:rRNA from 1 species
GUGGCGGACGGGUGAGUAACGCGUGGGUAACCUGCCUCAUACAGGGGGAUAACAGUUAGAAAUGACUGCUAAUACCGCAUAAGCGCACGGUGCUGCAUGGCACAGUGUGAAAAGCUCCGGUGGUAUGAGAUGGACCCGCGUCUGAUUAGCUAGUUGGUGGGGUAACGGCCUACCAAGGCGACGAUCAGUAGCCGGCCUGAGAGGGUGAACGGCCACAUUGGGACUGAGACACGGCCCAAACUCGUACGGGAGGCAGCAGUGGGGAAUAUUGCACAAUGGGGGAAACCCUGAUGCAGCGACGCCGCGUGAGCGAAGAAGUAUUUCGGUAUGUAAAGCUCUAUCAGCAGGGAAGAAAUAGGACGGUACCUGACUAAGAAGCACCGGCUAAAUACGUGCCAGCAGCCGCGGUAAUACGUAUGGUGCAAGCGUUAUCCGGAUUUACUGGGGUGUAAACGGGAGCGUAGACGGUUGUGUAAGUCUGAUGUGAAAGCCCGGGGCUCAACCC